GAUCUUUUCUUAAUUUGCAAUGGAGUAUAGAAUAAUGUAGCGUCUCACGUGAACUUCUCAAACACGUUACGUAGUGGAAAACAAAAUGUUUUAUAUCAGAUGCAUCAUCACUGUAGUAGUAUGCUGUAAUUGGGUACUUGCAUAUCAAGGAGAAGAAGAUAACGGAUAUCCACACGUGUGACCUAUAACUACAGCGGCAGCUGAUUAUUUAUAAGUUAAGUGGUAUGUUAAACUCGAACUAACUUUCUCCACAUUAAUUAUAAUGUUAAUUAACUUGAAGUCAAUUAAAUAGAGUGCCAUAUCGCCCUGCAAAUUUGUUGAAAUAUAUUUUUUUCUAGUGUA